UGGUGACUCAUAGUAACUGAUCGAAUCGCAAGGCCUGUGGCCGCGAUAAGUCAUUCAAGUUUCUGCCCCAUCAGCUUUCGAUGGUAGUGUAUUGGACUACCAUGGCGUUUACGGGUAACGGAGGAUUAGGGUUCGAUUCCGGAGAGGGAGCCUGAGAAACGGCUACCACAUCUAAGGAUGGCAGCAGGCGCGUAAAUUACCCAAUCCUGAUUCAGGGAGGUAGUGACAAGAAAUAACGGGCCGGGA
rnacentral:rRNA from 1 species